CCAGCAUAUUUUUCAGUACAGCAUCUACACUAAACUGAGGAGCACGUUGCUGCCUCUCUCAGUCACUUGGCACAGUGUAGCUGGAGGAAUAGACACUCAAAGUUGAGCUGGAGCAGGAGCUGAGCACUGACAUGACUGGACUGUGUGGAAAAUACAACGUAACAGGCAAUGAGCAGCAGCUGAUCA